rnacentral:rRNA from 1 species
ACACGAACCGCACGAACGUUAUUCGGAAUCACUGGGCUUAAAGGGUGCGUAGGCGGUCCGGUAAGUUGGGUGUGAAAGCCCUCGGCUCAACCGAGGAAUUGCGCCCAAAACUACCGGACUUGAGGAAGACAGAGGUGAGCGGAACUGGCGGUGGAGCGGUGAAAUGCGUUGAUAUCGCCAGGAACACCAGUGGCGAAGGCGGCUCACUGGGUCUUUUCUGACGCUGAGGCACGAAAGCUAGGGGAGCGAACGGGAUUAGAUACCCCGGUAGUCC